rnacentral:lncRNA from 1 species
UCUGGCGGUUCGGGCAGUGUCUCCUCGUCAUCCAAUGGUACUGUCGAACUCCUUGUUUAUUCUCCAUGAACUGAAGUUCUUGCAUUGCACAGGACCUUGUUUUAACAGAAUGAUUUGAGUUAAGAGAGCAUCCCAUGCUAGUUUCAGAGGAUGGGUAGCUUAAAUUACUGUAGCAUCUUACUUGAGCAGUACGAUUUGAGUGAGUACUUGUUUCUGAGAUGUGCAAGUUGCCUUGGGAUUCAGUUAACUUGUCCUGCCAUUUACUUGUGCCUAUCAUUGACGAGAAAAUUUGUUUGCUUAGCACAUUCACAGGCCAGCCAGCUCAGGAAGUCUGAAAAUGAUGAGCAUGGUCGAGAACAACUCAAGCGCAACAGAAAGAUUGAUUACGCCAUCAGGUAUAAUGUACAUUUGCUAAUCUUUUGUUAAUGCACGCAUCAAAGCAAGCUACCAGUUGAUGUAAGUGCUCCAGAUAAGGAGCAACAUUAUUCAUGCAUAU